rnacentral:rRNA from 1 species
UACGUAGGGUGCGAGCGUUAAUCGGAAUUACUGGGCGUAAAGCGUGCGCAGGCGGUUUUGUAAGCCAGAUGUGAAAUCCCCGGGCUUAACCUGGGAAUGGCAUUUGGGACUGCAAGGCUUGAGUUUGGCAGAGGAGAUUGGAAUUCCUGGUGUAGCAGUGAAAUGCGUAGAUAUCAGGAGGAAUACCGAUGGCGAAGGCAGGUCUCUGGGCUAGAACUGACGCUCAUGCACGAAAGCGUGGGGAGCAAACAGG